UGGGGUUUAGCUCCAAUUGGCAGAUCAGCGGAUUCCAAAUCCGCGUGUUGGGAGUUCGAAUCUCUCCACCCCUG
rnacentral:tRNA from 1 species